rnacentral:lncRNA from 1 species
UGGAGAGGUGACGGUGGUGGCAGAAGCUGGGUCAGGGUAAAGAGGGUGUGAAUCUUGUUCAAGAAGAGGUACGUUAAAAAAAUGCCAAGAGCUCAGGAAUAAUGUCAGAGGAAGGGCAAUAAACAGAACAUUCUGGGGAGAAAGCAAACCAUAAAAAUACAUUCCUAACACUCCUCACAGACCACAUCCAUAUCUUUGAAGGGAAGAAUAGUAACACAAGGAUUCAGGCUCCUCAGCUGCUUGUCUUCCUUCAAUGAUGCCUUUUCUACAACUCUCCUGCUCUCCUCAGCAAGAAUUU